UUUAAUUCGACGCAACGCGAAGAACCUUACCUGGGCUCGAAAUGCUAUGGACCAGCUUAUGAAAGUAGGCCUUCCCGCAAGGGACCGUAGUAUAGGUGCUGCAUGGCUGUCGUCAGCUCGUGUCGUGAGAUGUUGGGUUAAGUCCCGCAACGAGCGCAACCCUUGUCCUGUGUUGCCAUACCGAAAGGUGGAACUCGCAGGAGACCGCCAGGGAUAACCUGGAGGAAGGUGGGGAUGACGUCAAGUCCUCAUGGCCUUUAUGUCCAGGGCUACACACGUGCUACAAUGGACGGUACAAAGGGCUGCCAACCCGCGAGGGGGAGCCAAUCCCAAAAAACCGUUCUCAGUUCGGAUUGCAGGCUGCAACUCGCCUGCAUGAAGCUGGAAUCGCUAGUAAUGGUGGAUCAGAGCGCCACCGUGAAUACGUUCCCGGGCCUUGUACACUCCGCC
rnacentral:rRNA from 1 species